rnacentral:rRNA from 1 species
GGUUAAGCGACUAAGCGUACACGGUGGAUGCCCUGGCAGUCAGAGGCGAUGAAGGACGUGCUAAUCUGCGAAAAGCGUCGGUAAGGUGAUAUGAACCGUUAUAACCGGCGAUGUCCGAAUGGGGAAACCCAGUGCAAUUCGUUGCACUAUCGUUAACUGAAUACAUAGGUUAACGAGGCGAACCGGGGGAACUGAAACAUCUAAGUACCCCGAGGAAAAGAAAUCAACCGAGAUUCCCCCAGUAGCGGCGAGCGAACGGGGAGCAGCCCAGAGUCUGAAUCAGCUUGUGUGUUAGUGGAACGGUCUGGAAAGUCCGACGGUACAGGGUGAUAGUCCCGUACACCAAAAUGCACAGGUUGUGAACUCGAAGAGUAGGGCGGGACACGUGGUAUCCUGUCUGAAUAUGGGGGGACCAUCCUCCAAGGCUAAAUACUCCUGACUGACCGAUAGUGAACCAGUACCGUGAGGGAAAGGCGAAAAGAACCCCGGCGAGGGGAGUGAAAAAGAACCUGAAACCGUGUACGUACAAGCAGUGGGAGCACCUUCGGGUGUGACUGCGUACCUUUUGUAUAAUGGGUCAGCGACUUAUAUUCUGUAGCAAGGUUAACCGUAUAGGGGAGCCGCAGGGAAACCGAGUCUUAACUGGGCGUUAAGUUGCAGGGUAUAGACCCGAAACCCGGUGAUCUAGCCAUGGGCAGGUUGAAGGUUGGGUAACACUAACUGGAGGACCGAACCGACUAAUGUUGAAAAAUUAGCGGAUGACUUGUGGCUGGGGGUGAAAGGCCAAUCAAACCGGGAGAUAGCUGGUUCUCCCCGAAAGCUAUUUAGGUAGCGCCUCGUGAACUCAUCUUCGGGGGUAGAGCACUGUUUCGGCUAGGGGGUCAUCCCGACUUACCAACCCGAUGCAAACUACGAAUACCGAAGAAUGUUAUCACGGGAGACACACGGCGGGUGCUAACGUCCGUCGUGAAGAGGGAAACAACCCAGACCGCCAGCUAAGGUCCCAAAGUCAUGGUUAAGUGGGAAACGAUGUGGGAAGGCACAGACAGCCAGGAUGUUGGCUUAGAAGCAGCCAUCAUUUAAAGAAAGCGUAAUAGCUCACUGGUCGAGUCGGCCUGCGCGGAAGAUGUAACGGGGCUAAACCAUGCACCGAAGCUGCGGCAGCGACACUAUGUGUUGUUGGGUAGGGGAGCGUUCUGUAAGCCUGCGAAGGUGGCCUGUGAGGGUUGCUGGAGGUAUCAGAAGUGCGAAUGCUGACAUAAGUAACGAUAAAGCGGGUGAAAAGCCCGCUCGCCGGAAGACCAAGGGUUCCUGUCCAACGUUAAUCGGGGCAGGGUGAGUCGACCCCUAAGGCGAGGCCGAAAGGCGUAGUCGAUGGGAAACAGGUUAAUAUUCCUGUACUUGGUGUUACUGCGAAGGGGGGACGGAGAAGGCUAUGUUAGCCGGGCGACGGUUGUCCCGGUUUAAGCAUGUAGGCUGGUUAUCCAGGCAAAUCCGGAUAAUCAAGGCUGAGGUGUGAUGACGAGGCACUACGGUGCUGAAGUAACAAAUGCCCUGCUUCCAGGAAAAGCCUCUAAGCAUCAGGUAACAUCAAAUCGUACCCCAAACCGACACAGGUGGUCAGGUAGAGAAUACCAAGGCGCUUGAGAGAACUCGGGUGAAGGAACUAGGCAAAAUGGUGCCGUAACUUCGGGAGAAGGCACGCUGGUGUGUAGGUGAAGUCCCUGCGGAUGGAGCUGAGACCAGUCGAAGAUACCAGCUGGCUGCAACUGUUUAUUAAAAACACAGCACUGUGCAAACACGAAAGUGGACGUAUACGGUGUGACGCCUGCCCGGUGCCGGAAGGUUAAUUGAUGGGGUUAUCCGUAAGGAGAAGCUCUUGAUCGAAGCCCCGGUAAACGGCGGCCGUAACUAUAACGGUCCUAAGGUAGCGAAAUUCCUUGUCGGGUAAGUUCCGACCUGCACGAAUGGCGUAAUGAUGGCCAGGCUGUCUCCACCCGAGACUCAGUGAAAUUGAACUCGCUGUGAAGAUGCAGUGUACCCGCGGCAAGACGGAAAGACCCCGUGAACCUUUACUAUAGCUUGACACUGAACAUUGAGCCUUGAUGUGUAGGAUAGGUGGGAGGCUUUGAAGCGUGGACGCCAGUCUGCGUGGAGCCAACCUUGAAAUACCACCCUUUAAUGUUUGAUGUUCUAACGUUGGCCCCUUACCGGGGUUGCGGACAGUGUCUGGUGGGUAGUUUGACUGGGGCGGUCUCCUCCCAAAGCGUAACGGAGGAGCACGAAGGUUAGCUAAUCCUGGUCGGACAUCAGGAGGUUAGUGCAAUGGCAUAAGCUAGCUUGACUGCGAGCGUGACGGCGCGAGCAGGUGCGAAAGCAGGUCAUAGUGAUCCGGUGGUUCUGAAUGGAAGGGCCAUCGCUCAACGGAUAAAAGGUACUCCGGGGAUAACAGGCUGAUACCGCCCAAGAGUUCAUAUCGACGGCGGUGUUUGGCACCUCGAUGUCGGCUCAUCACAUCCUGGGGCUGAAGUAGGUCCCAAGGGUAUGGCUGUUCGCCAUUUAAAGUGGUACGCGAGCUGGGUUUAGAACGUCGUGAGACAGUUCGGUCCCUAUCUGCCGUGGGCGCUGGAGAAUUGAGGGGGGCUGCUCCUAGUACGAGAGGACCGGAGUGGACGCAUCACUGGUGUUCGGGUUGUCAUGCCAAUGGCACUGCCCGGUAGCUAAAUGCGGAAGAGAUAAGUGCUGAAAGCAUCUAAGCACGAAACUUGCCCCGAGAUGAGUUCUCCCUGAGACUUUAAGUCUCCUGAAGGAACGUUAAAGACGAUGACGUUGAUAGGCCGGGUGUGUAAGCGCAGCGAUGCGUUGAGCUAACCGGUACUAAUGAACCGUGAGGCUUAACCUU